AGGACGAACGCUGGCGGCGUGCUUAACACAUGCAAGUGGAGCGACGAACCGGGGCUUGCCCCGGGGCAGAGCCGCGAACGGGUGAGUAACACGUGGGUUACCUGCCUUGAUGACCGGGACAACCCGAGGAAACUCGGGCUAAUACCGGAUGUGCCCGCAAGGGGAAAGGAAGCUUCGGCCUCCGCAUCAAGAUGGGCCCGCGGCCCAUUAGCUUGUUGGUGAGGUAACGGCUCACCAAGGCAUCGAUGGGUAGCUGGUCUGAGAGGACGAUCAGCCACACUGGGACUGAGACACGGCCCAGACUCCUACGGGAGGCAGCAGUGGGGAAUCUUGCGCAAUGCGCGAAAGCGUGACGCAGCAACGCCGCGUGGGGGAAGAAGGCUUUCGGGUUGUAAACCCCUUUCAGUUGGGACGAAGCUUCUCCGGUGAAUAGCCGGACGGAGUGACGGUACCUUCACAAGAAGCACCGGCUAACUACGUGCCAGCAGCCGCGGU
rnacentral:rRNA from 1 species